GACGAACGCUGGCGGCGUGCUUAACACAUGCAAGUCGAACGGAAAGGCCCUGCUUUUGUGGGGUGCUCGAGUGGCGAACGGGUGAGUAACACGUGAGUAACCUGCCCUUGACUUUGGGAUAACUUCAGGAAACUGGGGCUAAUACCGGAUAGGAGCUCCUGCUGCAUGGUGGGGGUUGGAAAGUUUCGGCGGUUGGGGAUGGACUCGCGGCUUAUCAGCUUGUUGGUGGGGUAGUGGCUUACCAAGGCUUUGACGGGUAGCCGGCCUGAGAGGGUGACCGGCCACAUUGUGACUGAGAUACGGCCCAGACUCCUACGGGAGGCAGCAGUGGGGAAUAUUGCACAAUGGGCGGAAGCCUGAUGCAGCAACGCCGCGUGCGGGAUGACGGCCUUCGUGUUGUAAACCGCUUUCGCCUGUGACGAAGCGUGAGUGACGGUAAUGAGUAAAGAAGCACCGGCUAACUACGUG
rnacentral:rRNA from 1 species